GACUCCCUACGGGGCGCAGCAGUGAGGAAUAUUGGUCAAUGGCCGAGAGGCUGAACCAGCCAAGUCGCGUGAGGGAAGACGGCCCUACGGGUUGUAAACCUCUUUUGUCGGGGAGCAAAGCGAACCACGUGUGGUUCAUUGAGAGUACCCGAGGAAAAAGCAUCGGCUAACUCCGUGCCAGCAGCCGCGGUAAUACGGAGGAUCCGAGCGUUAUCCGGAUUUAUUGGGUUUAAAGGGAGCGUAGAUGGGUUGUUA
rnacentral:rRNA from 1 species